UACGGAGGGUGCAAGCGUUAUCCGGAUUUACUGGGUUUAAAGGGUGCGUAGGCGGGUCUGUAAGUCAGUGGUGAAAUCUCCGAGCUUAACUCGGAAACUGCCAUUGAUACUAUAGGUCUUGAAUUAUCUGGAGGUGAGCGGAAUAUGUCAUGUAGCGGUGAAAUGCUUAGAUAUGACAUAGAACACCAAUUGCGAAGGCAGCUCACUACGGAUAUAUUGACACUGAGGCACGAAAGCGUGGGGAUCAAACAGG
rnacentral:rRNA from 1 species